rnacentral:rRNA from 1 species
UACGGAGGGAGCUAGCGUUGUUCGGAAUUACUGGGCGUAAAGCGCACGUAGGCGGCUUUGUAAGUUAGAGGUGAAAGCCCGGGGCUCAACCCCGGAAUUGCCUUUAAGACUGCAUCGCUUGAAUCCAGGAGAGGUGAGUGGAAUUCCGAGCGUAGAGGUGAAAUUCGUAGAUAUUCGGAAGAACACCAGUGGCGAAGGCGGCUCACUGGACUGGUAUUGACGCUGAGGUGCGAAAGCGUGGGGAGCAAACAGG